GUCUUCGUGGCUCAGUUGGCUAGAGCGUUGGUCUCAUAUCUCUAUAUGAUCCAAUCACAGAUUGGGAUAUCCAAAGGUCGUGAGUUCGAGCCUCACCGAGGACA